AACUGCUUAGCACAGGAUUUAGUAAGCACAUAUGGUUAGUAGGUGGUAACUACUAUUAACAUGGCAUUCAAGAUCCUUCAUAGUUUAGCCUCUCCCUGCCUUUCCAGCUUCACCUCCUGCCUCAUCGUCCUAUUCUAGUAUCACUUUUCAAUUCUUCGUCGUGCCUGCCUGCUUUUCCUUCUUAGGAUUCUUUUCCUUACUUGUCUACCUGGCCAAAUUCUGGUUCUAUAGGUUCUAUAAGACAGUAAAGUCUUCUCAGUCGCCAAUCUCUCUUCCUGGCACAGUUUCCAUAAACACGGAGGUCAUGCCGCCUUGAUUCUCUGGAAUAGUUCCAAUAUCAAAUAGUCUGUGGUAUUGUCAAGACCCUGUAUCAACUUCUCUUCCUAUCUUUUAUUCUGAGAGUAUGAUUGUCAACCCAUAGCACUUGUACAUACUCUAUGAUGGCAGCUAUUACAUUUUACUCUAAUGAUUUAUGGGGCUGCCUCUCUCAUUAGUCUGUGAUCUUUUUGAGGGCGAGCACUUUAUCUUCACUUGGUAUACCAGGAACUCUCAUGGUGCCUAGGACAUUGUUGGGGCUAAAUAAUGUCAAUUCAGUGAAUGAAUUAAUGAAUGACAAUUGAAUGAAUAAGGUACUCAUCCUCUUAUUUUGUGUCUACGUUGAUCUUGCUUGCCCCUAGCCCCCUCCAUUCUGACCUUAGGGACUAUUCUAAGAUAUGAUAAAAUCUGUGUGUGUAUGCAUGUGUGUGCACACUCACGUUAUUUCUGUCAAAUCUGUAUACGUGGACCUAUUUUGAAAUCACCAGAUUGCUCUACUUUUCCAAAAUAUAUAUUGGUGAACUCCUUUUUCAGUUUCCUUGGAGCACCAAGCCAACAUGUCCUGCUUUGCCUCUGCCUCCACACCCUGCCACGUCACCCCAGGUCUUCUAUGCCAGGAAUGUUACUGGGGAAGAGUGGCUCUGUGACUCAGAGGACACCCCAGGGAUUGAGUGGGAGUGGAGGCAGAGAUAAUGUAAAGGGGGAAAAGAUGAGAGACACCCUGGCCCCACUUUUUGAAUUUUGCUUUCAUUCCUUCAUAUAUUCAGGAGACAUGUAUUAUGCACCUACUUUGUGCCAGGCACAAAGAUGCUUGAGAUAUAAAAUGCUUGAGAUAUGAAAAUCGGUAAGAUGUAAUCUUUGCCCUGAAAUAUUCAGUCUUGUGAGGAAGACAAACAAGUAAACAGACUGACAUAAUACCAUGUAGUAGGAGUAAUAGCAGCCAUUUUCUGGUACAUAAAGAGAAACAAAGACCCCUAAGAAGCUACAAAACAGGGAUCUCUUCUUUUCAGGAGGGCUGAAAUCAAUUCAUAGAUCAAAUCCCAGGGAGAAGAUCCCUCUAUUUGACCUACUGCCUGUAUGAGUCAGGGCUUUAUUGGUCUAUUUCCAAUUUUUAAAUCAGAAACAGCUUUAGUUCUACACCAGCUGAUUUUUAAAAUAACUCAGGAAACGGUAGCAACUCCAUGCCUUUUAUGGAAACAAGUAUAAUUUAUUCAAUAAAUAUUUAUUUGACCUAUGAGCCAAAUCCUGUGCUAGACAGUGUGCUCCCACCUGUCUAGUUCCUGUACUGUUAGUUGGGUGGAGGGGUAUAUGUAUAGGCAACUGUAAAAUACUUCAGUGUCGUUCAAUUCCAUUGCUAUUGAAUGAAAUGGCAACGCAAUCAUGUAGUUUGUCUACUUUCAUACCCAAUGGAAUAUGAAUAAUCCAGCAAGUGGCAGCAGGGAAACAAUUAUUUCUAUCUUGAGAGAGGGGUAGAAGGCAGAGGAAAAUAGGCAGUGGUAGUCUCUGGACUUCAUGGUCCUAGGUUCCCUUUCGAGGACCCGGAAGACAUCCGGAUAGAGGAUAACCAGGCCAUCUUGGGGGCUGCAAACCAAGACCCCCCCACACACAAUUUCUCUUCAUUUAUUAAUUUCACAAAUAAUUAUUGAGCCGCUACCAUGUACAGGCUCACAAGAUGGGAGGAGCUGGAGAUACAAGAGUGAAACAGUCUUUGCUUUUCAGCAGCUUACAGUCCGAUCAGUCUUCAGCUCCCCAUCUGGUUUUCACAAUCUCCAGGGUACUUUAUUAAUCCGAACGCUAGACUAGAAUGGGGAAUUUCUCUGUGCAGUUCGGUGCACUGAUUAACAGAACCAAGGGUUUGCGGAAUUUCUCUGUGCAGUUCGGUGCACUGAUUAACAGAACCAAGGGUUUGCCUGGAUCGCAGAUUGUGAUAUGGUCGCCUUUCGUGGCUUUUUCUGAGAGGUCUUCUGAAUUCCAUAACUGUGCCCAGCAUUGCGCUUGAAGCAAAGUGUAGAUCUGUUUUGAAUGUCAUUCAGAGGAAGGCAAGACAAGCACGCAUGUUAAGCCAAACAGUAAACAAGCAGUAAAGCCGGAAGAAUAGUCGCAUGUGAUGUUUUGUGAUAUUCAAGGGCUUAACGUCGCUGAGUUGACAACAGCGCCUCGGUGGGGAGCUCUAACCCUGGGCUCUAAAAUUGAAGGCCAGCCGGGCAGACUCUUACUUAUCCCGAGCUCCGGCAACUCAGCCGGGUCCUUUCACAGAGACGAAUUUAACUGGACCCACAGAGCCACCGUAGCGCUGGUUCACAGUCGGGGAAGAGCUUGUCUUCGACCUGUGGAUUCGUUAGGGCUAGAGGAACCCGUGUAAUGUGACCAACACCAGCCUUCCGAUUGGCUCUCAGGGCCUCCCUCUUCUCCCCCCCCCCCAUUGAGUGGGCGGGAACGCUGGAAAGGUUACGCGCAUGAGCAGUUCCCGGAUUUCCCCUGGCCACCGAGUGGAGCAGUGAGGUUGGGCGAUAAACAGGCUGUGGCUGGGGAGGAGGGGCGGGGGCAUUUGUUCCUCUGGGACUUUUCACGCCCCCUAUUUCGUUAGGUGUGGUUAGGUUCGGACGCGGGGUCUUGGCGGCCGGCUGGAGCCUACUUCUUUGUGAAAGGGGAAAGUAGCUCCCUCGGAGCACUGGUGAAGUUGCGGAGCGGGUGCGAGACGGCGGUUUUCCCCUAUGCCAGCCAAAUGGUGCGGCCUUGAGCUGUUUCAGGACCCAGCCCGACGUGUCUGAGAGAGGCCCCGGAGGGGGCAGGGAGGUGGCCCGCAGAACGUGGGUUCUGUGAAGAGACGUGGAGAAAAUUCGACUCGGAGAAGAGGAAGAGCCCGAUUGAAAGGGAGCGAGGCCGCUGAGGGGGAGGGGGCUGCCAAGAUGGCGUCGGCCUCCUCAGGGCCGUCGUCGGUCGGGUUUUCAUCCGCGGAUCCCGGCGUCCCUUCCUGCGCCUCGUCCUCAGGUUUCAACUUUCUGUGCUGUGGGGUCAGCCGUAAGAGAGCAUCUGGAAUCAAGAGACCCAUGGCAUCUGAGGUGCCAUAUGCCUCUGGCAUGCCCAUGAAGAAAAUAGGCCACCGAGGUGUUGAUUCCUCAGGAGAGACGACAUAUAAAAAGACAACCUCAUCUGCCUUGAAAGGUGCCAUCCAGUUAGGCAUUACUCACACUGUGGGAAGCCUGAGUACCAAACCAGAGCGUGAUGUCCUCAUGCAAGACUUCUAUGUGGUGGAGAGUAUCUUCUUUCCCAGUGAAGGGAGCAACUUGACUCCUGCUCAUCACUACAAUGACUUUCGCUUCAAAACCUAUGCACCUGUUGCCUUCCGUUACUUUCGGGAGUUAUUUGGUAUCCGGCCUGAUGAUUACUUGUACUCCCUCUGCAGUGAGCCACUGAUUGAACUCUGCAGCUCUGGGGCCAGUGGUUCCCUCUUCUAUGUGUCCAGUGACGAUGAAUUCAUCAUUAAAACGGUCCAGCAUAAAGAGGCGGAGUUUCUGCAGAAGCUGCUUCCAGGAUACUACAUGAACCUCAACCAGAACCCUCGCACUUUGCUGCCUAAAUUCUAUGGACUGUACUGUGUGCAGGCAGGUGGUAAGAACAUUCGAAUUGUGGUGAUGAACAAUCUCUUACCACGGUCAGUCAAGAUGCACAUCAAAUAUGACCUCAAGGGCUCAACCUACAAACGGCGGGCUUCCCAAAAAGAGCGAGAGAAGCCUCUACCCACCUUUAAAGACCUGGACUUCUUACAAGACAUUCCAGAUGGUCUGUUUUUGGAUGCUGAUAUGUACAAUGCUCUAUGUAAGACCUUACAGCGUGACUGUUUGGUGCUGCAGAGCUUCAAGAUAAUGGACUAUAGCCUCUUGAUGUCAAUCCAUAACAUAGAUCAUGCCCAACGAGAGCCCUUAGGCAAUGAAACACAGUAUUCAGUUGAUACUCGCAGACCAGCCCCCCAAAAGGCUCUCUAUUCCACAGCUAUGGAAUCUAUCCAGGGCGAGGCUCGGCGAGGUGGUACCAUGGAGACUGAUGACCAUAUGGGUGGCAUCCCGGCCCGCAAUAGUAAAGGGGAAAGGCUGCUGCUUUAUAUUGGGAUCAUUGACAUUCUUCAGUCUUACAGGUUUGUUAAGAAGUUGGAGCACUCUUGGAAAGCUCUGGUACAUGAUGGGGACACCGUAUCGGUGCAUCGGCCAGGCUUCUAUGCUGAACGGUUCCAACGCUUCAUGUGCAACACAGUGUUCAAGAAGAUACCCUGCGUCCACUUCGGUCGUCCUGAUGUUUUACCUCAGACUCCACCUUUGGAGAAAAUCAGUGAGGUCACGACUAUUCCUGACCCCUAUUUCUCACCUGUAGUUGGAGAGACUUUACAAAUGCAAACUACAAGCAUUCAGUUCCUUGUGGGUUACUGGACAGAGGGCAUUAGUUCCUCACCAGCUGUUGGCUGGGGACCUCCCUGUUCUUUGCCACGUGAGCCUCUCUGUUAGGACAACUCAGCACAUAGCAGCUGGCUUCUCUCAAGAUUCAAUCCUCUUGGAAAAGCCUGAAGUUGCAGAGUCAGAGUUCACCCAUUGAGCAAAAAAAUUCAGAAGACUUAGAACAAGAUUCUACCAGCUUCGUGAUCCCAAGAUGCCAGCCCUUGCCCCAGCAAUGCUGAG